GACGAACGCUGGCGGCGUGCUUAACACAUGCAAGUCGAACGGAAAGGCCCUGCUUGCAGCGUACUCGAGUGGCGAACGGGUGAGUAACACGUGGGUGCUCUGCCCUGCACUUCGGGAUAAGUCUUGGAAACUGGGUCUAAUACCGGAUAGCAGCCAUUAUUAGUGUGAUGGUUGUAAAGUUUUUUCGGUGUAGGCUGAGCUCGCGGCCUAUUGGCUUGUUGGGGCGGUAAUGGCCUACCAAGGCGACGCGGGGUAGCCGGCCGGAGAGAGUGGACGGCGACAUAGGGACUGAGAGACGCCCCAGAUUCCUACGCGGGGCAGAGGUGGGGAAAAUAGCACAAUGGGCGCAGGGCGGAUGCAGCAGCGCUGCGUGGGGGAUGACGGCCUUCGUGUGGAAGAAACCUGUCGCUAGGGACGAAGCAUUUUAUGACGGUACCUACAGAAGAAGCACCGGCUAACUACGUG
rnacentral:rRNA from 1 species